rnacentral:lncRNA from 1 species
CAUGAGUGUACACGUUAACCCUAGCUAGCGACCUUUGUCUAGCAUAGGAUCCCAAUUGGAUUUCCUUUAAAGUUGGCGAACCAACACAGAUAGGAUACAUAUAAAAACAUAAACAUUUUUGGCAGUCAACCAUUUCAUAAACAUUUCAUUUCAUAAACAUUUCAUUUUCAUUUCAUAAGAGUCAUUUAUCAUUUUGGCAUAAUAAUAAACUGAAAUUAACAGUUAAAAUCAUCUAUGCAUAUAUUCGUAUAAGAGGCCUACGACACGCAGGGGAUCUCUAUAUACGUAAUAAUAAAAUAAUGCCCACCUCAAACGUUCUUAAGCUAGCGUGGAGUCGCUUCUUCUUCGGCUUCACUUCCUGUCGCCCGGACCUUUAUUGAUGAAGAGUCGGUAAGUUCGUGAAGAAAAUUGUCACAAGACAAAGUCUAAUUCUACGUGCUUAGGGUAUCUUUUAGUGUUUUAGGGUUCUAGCAUCCAUAAUUCAUUUCGAUUAAAACAAUCAAAAACCAACAUAACAUCGACUAACCACAUAAUAUCACGUAACCACAUAACAAACAAAAUAAAAGAAUUCAACAUCCUUAAACUUAAUAUCAUUUAGAAAUUCACAUGUUCACAUAAGAGAUAAUAAUCAUGCACCAUCUUAUAACAUUCUAUACAUUUCAUUUCCAUGUAAAUAAAUACGAAAUUCCAUUAUUCAUUUAUAAAUGACUUAAAUAAGCAUUUUAAACUCCAUUAAAAUGGAAUUGAUUUAAAACAUUUUAAUCCUUUUAAAAUCCAUACUCAUAAAGCCUUAACUCAUGCUCUAUCUCAUAUUCUAUCUCCUUACUCAACUCUAUAUAAACUCUCCACUCAUCUCAAAUCCUUAAGUUCAAGGAUAGGUUUCAAGAAAAUCAUGGUACUAAGUCUCGAUUUAUCUCUCAUAUAAGGCUCGUCUAAUCUCAUUCAAACACAUAGGCAACACAAUCACAUAUAAGGCACAUAAGAAUCACAAUCAAACACCAUCAAAACAUGCUCUGUUUUUACACUGACUCAACUUCAAAAAUUAACCUGUUCUGACUCCGACAUCUCCUGGACUCGAGACUCAUACCAAAAGAAAGAUAUUCGAGUCUAGUUUCAUAUAAAAAAAAGUAGAGUCAAAAACUCCAAGUGGUUUGGGAGAUAUGUCGUUUUUACCACGAUCUACCAUAUUCGGCAGUUUUGAGCAAUCGAAAACUUGGAUUUUUGAAAAAUAGUAAACGUUGUCAAAUUGGGCUUAAAUUUGGUGGAUAUCUAGCUAACACAAUAAGGUUAAUACCAUAAAAAUUUGGAAAGCUAUAUCACACAGUAAGCUACUUAAAAUAAUGACUCUUUACCCUGUUCUCUGAAAUUCUCGGUAGUAAAGUGCAGUUUAGGUUUUAUAUUUUAAAGAAAUAUCAAACGAAGUUGGAAUGGCUUGAAAUUUUACCAGUGUGCUCAACACUCUCAAAUAUACUUACCAUAAAAUUUUCAUGGCUUUUGGAUAUCAAAAUCGCGUCGAAAACAGUAGGUCAGUAGCCUUUAAAAAGGUUCUCAAAUUAACUCCCAAACUUGAGCAUAAAGCAAAUAUACCUAAAUUCCGGACUUCUUCGAUGAAAAAAUUCUCAAAAAUUCAAAUUAAGCUCAUAUAAAUCACAAUAACAUAAAUACAUGAUCAUAUAACUCAAGAAAAUUCAAACAUCGACUUCCCCUUUUUCUCCUUACAUUCGGCCAACACAUAAGUCAUUAGGAGUUGGUCCGUUUCGUCUCAUAUCGCAUAUACAAGCUCAAUUUAUCAUCAAAUAGCCAUAUAUAAACAUGCUCGACUCAUAACUCAUCUUAUAUACAAGAUCUCAUGUAUGCACGCAAACUAAACUCGAGAAAUUUUCACAAAUCAACAUCAUUAACCAAAUUAAUCAUGCUUUCUCCUUGCUAGUAGUCUAACUAACAUAUAAACAUCAUCAAUUCAAGUAUUUAUCUCAUUAAUCAAAAGUCCCCAAUUAUUAGCAAACUAACUUAACCAAUUUAGGCAUUCUUGACAAUUAACCAAAUUGAUCCCUAAUUAUCAUUUCUAUCAUGCUUAAUAACAAUUAAACUUAGCCAAUUUAAUCAAUUAACACAUAGAUCACAAAGUCCCAAUUUUUAACAAACUAAACUUUUUGAAAAUCUACAAACAUACAUAAAUCAUUAAUCCAACCUUAGAUUAAUCAAAUUGGCACACUUAAUAGCAUAAAUAAGCAAUCAAUUAGUAAAUUAAACCAUAGAAUCAAUUUUACCCAAAUUACAUCAAACUAACUCAUAUCAAAAAUUACUAAUCAAUUUCAACCAUCAAUCCAAUCCAUCAAAUCUCAUAUAAACACUCUCAAUAGCAUAUAUCAUCCAUCAAUUCAUCAAUCAACCUCAAAUCCAAAACUUCCCAAAUUUAGCAAACUAAACUCUUUGAAAAUUCAAAAUCCUUUCUAAUCCUUUUAAAAACUCAUGGAUAUCAACUCAAUAGGUUCUCAAUUACAUAAUUAUUGCCUCGAUUUAAGAAAAGAAAGUGAAAAUAUUUGAAGGGUAAAAAUACCCCCAAUUUUCGAAAAUUAGAGAAAUGAUGGAGGGGUUUGAUUUUCUUGUUUUCUUCCAUCAAAACAUCAAGAAAUGGAGGUAGAUUUAAGGAAUCUUAAGGUUGAUCCACUUACCCUCAAUAUUUAAGAAAAUGGCGAACUCUUUGAUCCACUUGGGUUUGGAAACUCUAGCUUGAUCAUUCUCUUGAUUCUUGGUGAUUGAAGGCUAGUUCUAGGAGUGGUGAUGGUGGAUCUAUGUGUUUAGAAGCUUUGGAGUGUUCUUCCAUGAUGGAUUGAAAAGAAAAUAGUGAGAGUAGAGAGGGAGAGAGAGAUGGACGAAAAUGAGAGGGGAGGAAGAGAGAGGAAAUGCUUUUGUUUAAUGCUAAACUUGGUCACUAAGUUUCCUAAGUAAUU